GACGAACGCUGGCGGCGUGCUUAACACAUGCAAGUCGAACGAAGUGGCGAACGGGUGAGUAACGCGUAAUCAACCUGCCCUUCAGAGGGGGACAACAGUUGGAAACGACUGCUAAUACCGCAUACUGAAGGAGGGGAUUGCGUCUGAUUAGCUAGUUGGAGGGGUAACGGCCCACCAAGGCGAUGAUCAGUAGCCGGUCUGAGAGGAUGAACGGCCAAAAUUGGACUGGGAAACGGCCCAAACUCCGUCGGGAGGCAGCAGGGGGGAAUCCUCCGAAAUGGAAGAAAGGCUGACGGAGCAAAGGCGGGGGAGUGAGGACGGCCUUCGGGUUGGAAAGCUCUGUUAAUCGGGACGAGGUACCGGAAUAGAAAGCCAAGGCUAACUAAGUGCCAGCAGCCGCGGUAAUAC
rnacentral:rRNA from 1 species